CGUUUCUCAGGUAUAUCUUUUCAGACUCUUGUAAUGGCUUGGUUGGACUAGAUUCCUUUUAUAUCUUUCAUCUAUCAGGACGCCAGCAUAUAUUUGAUCUACAGAAACGUGUUUCCAUACAGCAAAGAAUGGUUUAAACUUUUAUACAGUUGCAUACUUCAAGUCUGGACGCGGGAUACAAAGAACGGUUACUUGAGAUGGAAUCUAGGUUGAGGUUUCGGGGUCUGGUGUUCGGUUUCUCAUUUUCACAGAAAUCCUCUGAAACCUAGCACCAGGAGGAACCAGAGAUACGGUGGAACAGACGGGAACCCGAGGAACUCAAGUGGAGAGUAGAGGAGGCCAGUUUUAGACCAUCCUUCAUAAACCAUGUUACAGGACCAGGAUAUACAAUUUCUCCGGGUUCAGGAUUCAAUACAGGAUAUCCACACCUUGGCUUAGGAUAUACAGUUUCUCCGGGUUUAGGAUACACUAGGAAAUAUCCACAUCUUGGUCUAGGAUUAACAGUUUCUCCGGGUUCAGGAUACACUAGGAGAUAUCCACACCUUGGUCUAGGAUACAUCAUGGUGUGAAGCAGUGUUUAACAGAAUGUGUAAAGUGAAAUUUGAAGCUUCAAGCAUAAUUUCCAAGAUGAAAGUGAUCCAUUGAAAAAUUUGAAUUUAGCCCAGAGAGGGUUUAAUGACUUAAUUGGUCCUAAACCCCCUAGAUUUGUAGACCUCAACGACGGCAAGGAACGGAGCUUCACAAGGGUGUCAUGCUACAAGAUGCCAAAAGG